CUUGGAAUGGUGUUUGCUGCUCUUGGUGUUUUAGUUACAUCCCUUUAUCAAGUGUGGGUAGGAGCCAAACAGCAUGAAUUACAAGUAAACUCAAUGCAGCUGCUGUACUACCAGGCUCCGAUGUCAUCUGCCAUGUUGCUGGUUGCUGUGCCCUUCUUUGAGCCAGUGUUUGGAGAAGGAGGAAUAUUUGGUCCCUGGUCAGUUUCUGCUUUGCUUAUGGUGCUGCUAUCUGGAGUAAUAGCUUUCAUGGUGAACUUAUCAAUUUAUUGGAUCAUUGGGAACACUUCACCUGUCACUCAAGAAAUGAAGUCAUUGGCCGGGUGCCAUGGCUCACGCCUGUAAUUCCAACACUGUGGGAGGCCGAGGCAGGAGGAUCGCUUGAGCCCAGGAGUUCGAGACCAGCCUGGGCAACAUAGGGAGAACCUAUCUCUACCAAAAAAAGAAAAAAUAGAA
rnacentral:sRNA from 1 species